rnacentral:lncRNA from 10 species
CAGAAAUUAACCAAUAUGAAAAAAAGGGAAAAAUAGACCAGAAAAAGGGGGUAAACAUGAAAGCACAAGAGACCUCUGAGACAGUAACAAAAGCUCUACCAUUCAUAUCACAGAGAGGAGAAAGAGUAGGGAUGAAAAAAUAUUUCAAGAAAUAAUGGUUAAAAAUUCCCAAAUUUGGCAAAGGGCAUAAACCGACAAAUCAAAAAGCUAAACAAAAACCAAACAUGAUACACUCAAAAAAAUUCCAUGUCACACACCUCAUAACCAAACUUCUGAACACUACAAAAAAAACAAAACACUUUGAACGCAGGUUGAUAAAAAUGGCACAUUAUGAACUAGGGAACAAUGGUUCAAAUGGCAACAGAUUUCUCAUCUGAAACCAUAGCGGACAGAAGGAACAAACAUGUUUCUCAAGUACUAAAAGAACUGCAGACCCUAAAUCCUAUUAUCCCACAAAAAUAUCCCUCAGGAAUGAAGGGAACAUAAAGACACUUUUAGAGACACCAGCAGACUGACCCUAGAAAAAAGGUUACACAAGUUCGCCAAACAGAAAGAAAAUGUUAAUAGAAGGUGGCUUAGAAUUUCAAGAAAGAAUAGUGGAAUGGGUAAAGAGAUCAACAAGCAAUACUUCCUGUGACUUUUGUAAAAUAUAUUUGACAGUGGAAGCAAAAAUUACAUUUUCCAACAUGGUGCUCAAUUUUGAAGAGGAAUUACUUUAGACAAUUAUAUUAACAGGCAAGGUGAAGGGACCAAGUAAGGUUUCUAUACAUCAAAGUGCUAAAUUUUUCAUACCAUUAACUGUAAUUAUGUUACAUAUGUACAUUAUACUACUUAAAGCAACCACUAAAAAAUUAAUACAAAAAUACAAAGAAAUAUAUUUAAAAAACACUACAAAUAUAUCAAAUGGAAUUCUAAAAAAUGUUAAAGACAAAAAAAAAAAAACCCAAACAAACCAAGAAAGAAGCAACAGGAAACACAAAAAACUAAUCAUAAAAUAGCAGACAUAGCACUAACAUAAUUAUUGUAAACUUUAAAUGGUCUAAAUACACCAAUAAAAGACAGAAAUAUGCAAACUGGGGCCAGACACAGUGACACAUACCUGUAAUCCCAGCACUUUGGGAGGCUGAGGUGGGCAGAUCACCUGAGGUCAGGAGUUUGAGACCAGCCUGACCAACAUGAUGAAACCCCGUCUCUACUAAAAAUAUAAAAAUUAGCUAGGUGUGGUGGCAGGCACCUGUAAUCCCAGCUACUUGGGAGGCUGAGGCAAGAGAAUGGCUUGAACCCGGGAGGCAGAGGUUGCAGACUGCGCCACUGCACUCCAGCCAGGGCGACAGAGCAAGACUCCGUCUCAAAAAAAAAAAAAAAAAAAAAAUGCUGUGCGUGGUUGCUCAUACCAGUAAUCCUAGCACUUUGGGAGGCUGAGGCAGGUGGAUCACCUGAGGUCAGGAGUUCGAGACCAGCCUGGCCAACAUGGUGAAACUCCAUCUCUACUAAAAAUACAAAAAAUCAGUCAGGCAUGGUGGCGGAUGCCUGUAAUCCCAGCUACUCAAGAGCCUGAGGCAGGAGAAUCACUUGAACCCAGGAGGCGGAGGUUGCAGUGAGCGGAGAUCGCACCACUCCACUCCAGCCUGGGCAACAAGAACAAAACUCCGUCUCAAAAAAAAAAAAAAAAAAAAAAAAAGAUACGCAAACUGGAUAUAAAACCACAGCCCAAAUAUACGCCAUUCACAAGAAACUUACUCCCAAUAUAGUGAUAUAGAUAAGGUUUAAAAAAAUGAUGAAGUGUAAAUCAUGCAAGCAUUAACCAAAACGUAAGACUGACCACACAAAUAUCAGAUAAAAAUUGAUAAGAGUAUUAACAGGAACAAAAAGGGACAUUACUUAAUUAUAAAAGGGUCAAUACACCAAGAAUACUAAGCAAACCUACAUGUGUAUAUACCAAACAACAGAGCUUUAAAUUAUGUGGAGCAAAAACUGAUAGAACUUAAAGGAGGAAUAGGUAAUUCCACAAUUAUAGCUCAGGACUUCAACAUCCUUCUCUUGGCAAUUGAUAGAAAUACUAGACAGAAAAUCAGCAAGGAUACAGGAGACCUAAAUAACACCACCAACUAACAGGAUCAUACAAACUUUUACAGAAACUCCACCAAAUGACCGAGAACACACAUUCUUUUCAAGCAGCUAUGUAAAACAAGACAGCCUAUAUCCUGGGUCAUAAGGAAAAAAAGUCAACAAAUUUCAACAGUAACAUCAAAUGCAAAACAAAUUAGAAAUCAAUAACAAAUAGCAGGGAAUACUCCAAACACUAUUAAACAAUAUACUUCUAAAUAAUUCCUGGGUUAGAGAAGAUGUCUCAAAAGGAAUCAGGCAAUCUUAGAACUGAGUAAGAUAAUCAAAAGCAUAUUAAGACUUGUGGGAUGAAACUAACAGCAGUGUAAGAAAAAUGUAUAGAACUUAAAGCUUAUAUUAAAAAAGAAAAAAAGCCUCAAAUCAAUAACCUAAACAUCCACGUCAGGAAACCACUGAGUCAAAUACAACCAGAGCAAGUAGGAGAAAGGAUACAAUACACAUCAGAGCAGAUAUCAGUGAAAUUAAGAACAGAGACUGGAGAAAAAUCAGUGAUAUAAAGUGCUAUUUCUUUGAAAUGAUCAAUGAAAUUGACAUAUGUCUACAAAGACUGACAAUAAUAAGUGAUACAUUUCCAAUAUCAAGAAUACAACAAGGAACAUAAGUACAGAUCCUGCUGCCAUCAAGAGGAUAAAAGGAAAUAUUUCAAAGAAUGCUACAAAUUAGAACAUUUACAUAAAAUGAACACUUCCUUAAGAAAAUCUAUAAAAAUUCAUCCAAUAUGAAAUACUCUGAAUAGUUCUAUACCUAUUAAAUAAAAUAAAUACAUAAUUAAAAAGCAUUCAAAAGGAAAAUCUCCAGGUCCCACUUCUUCACUGGAGAAAGCUACCAAACAUUAAAGGAACAAAUAACACCAAUUCUACACAUGAUCUUCCAAAAAAACAGAAGAGAAUUCCUUCCAAUUCAUGUUAGGAGGUUAGUUAUCAUCUAGACAUCAAAACCAAACAGUAACAGUUGAAGAAAGAAAACUACAGAUUAUCACUCAUGAAAUCAGAGGAAAGCUUCCUCAACAAAAUACUAGCAAAUGAAAUACUGUAGCAUAGUACACAAACAAAAUUAUACUCCAUGAUCAAGUAGGGCUUAUCACAAAGAUGUGAGGCUGGUUCAAUACUUGAAACUCAAUCAAGGUAACACAUCAUAUCAACUGACUAUAGAAGUAACAUCACAUAAUUAAAUCAAUUGGUGGAGAAAAAGCAUAUGACAAAAUUCAACACUUAUUAAUAAUAACCAAAAAAAUCCCAGCAAAUUAGGAAUAGAGGGAAACUUUCUAAACUCGAUAGAGAAACUCUUUGGAAGCAACUUUCAACAUCAUAAUAAUGAGAAACUGAACAUUUCCCCCUAAUAUCAGGAACAAGGCAUGGAUAACUUGUCACUAUUCGUAUUCAACAUCACACUGGAAAUCCUACCUAGUACAAUAACAUGAGAAAAGCAAAUAAAAGGUAUACAGAUGGGAAGCAAGAAAUAAAACUGUCCCAAAUUGCAAAUGACAUUUCUAUAUUUAAAAUCCUAAGGAUUCUCCCAAAAGAAAUGGCAAGAAAUAAUGAGUUUAGGAAGGUUGCAAGACAGCAAAAUAAGAUUGAAAAAAUAAUGUUUCUGUAUACUAGCCAACAUCAUGUGAAUAUUGAAACUUUAAAUAUCAAUGCCAUUUACAAUCACUCAAAAAACUAUGCAGCUAUAAUUCUUAUUUUAAA